rnacentral:rRNA from 1 species
AUUGAACGCUGGCGGCAGGCCUAACACAUGCAAGUCGAACGAGUGGCGGACGGGUGAGUAAUGUCUGGGCAACUGCCCGAUGGAGGGGGAUAAAUACUGGAAACGGUAGCUAAUACCGCAUACCAUCGGAUGUGCCCAGAUGGGAUGAGCGAGUAGGUGGGGUAAAGGCUAACCUAGGCGACGAUACCUAGCUGGUCGGAGGGGCUGACCACCCAAACGGGAACGGGGCACGGGCCCAGCCUCCUACGGGGGGCAGCAGUGGAGAUUAUUGCAAAAUGGGCGAAAGCCUGCUGCAGCCAUGCCGGGGGUAUGAAGAAGGCCUUCGGUUUGUAAAGUAUUUUAAGCGAGGAGGCGGUACUCGCAGAAGAAGCACCGGCUAACUCCGUGCCAGCAGCCGCGGUAAUAC